UCCACAAUUAAUGGAAGAGUAGAGUGAGGGAGGUAUUCCGUCCGUGUAGUUAUAGGCAGUAGCAUUUGUUUGUAGGAGAGAUGGCAGAGCAAAGCAUUUGUAGCUGGUUUCACUUGUAAAUAUGAUUUCCAUGUGUGGUAGAGAGGAGGUACAGGAUAUAUUCACCACUUGUCUGAUACUCCCUCUAUCAAAAUAUAAAGACGUUUUUUGAUACGAUACUCCGUUUGUAUCAAAAAACAUCUUAUAUUUUGAUUCAGAGGGAGUAGCAAAUAUAUUUUUUUCUGAAGAAAAAAACACAUCCUAGUGAUUGAUUGAUCCCUGAAUCCAAGUUUUACGCUGCUUAAACAUGAAAUGUAUUGACUGACUGAUUUACUGAAUUUUGUAGAUUGGUGGUCUAGGAGAUGUGCCAAGAUGGUAUGAUGCGGUGCUUUCUCCUCUUCCAGGAGAUGGAGACGGAGACAGAGAUGGACCGAGCGUAGCGGCUGGGCCUCUGCAUGCUUCUGAAGGCCCUCUGCUUGUUGAUGAGCUUCAGUAACAAUAAUGAUACGCCAGGGUGUGUUUGUUUUAUUCAGAGAAGCUCCUUUUGAAUCUUGCCAGGUAUAUUUCCAAAGUGUGAUCUUGUAUAUCGCAAUAUGCAAGGUAUUCAUCAGCUCAACCGCCUGGAAAAACAGCAAGUUCAGUGAACCAACACGCUGCAUCUGGUUUGUUUUAAUCACUUCGUGCAUUGAGACACCCUGCAGCACGACGACUCUGCCAUCAAAGCAGCCAGAGACACCCUGCAGCACGAAAGGAGAAACUUUGAAGCCGUGGCUCUGGCUUCGACAUCCAGGGUGCUGGUCAGUCCGUGCGUUUGAGAAUCAAUACACCGCGGAAUGAAACCAUGGAUGGACAGCUUUGUAUCAGAGGUUCUGUUCAGUUGUGGAUAAAUUGGACAAUGUAGGAUGGUCCUUGUCAUCAGUGUACAGAAAGAAUGAUGUGCUUCUGAUUUCGGGGACCAACGUUUGAGGCAUGCACGGUGUCUGCUUUAUGCGCGCUCGGCUUGAAAUGCUACUCCCUCCGUUCACUUUUGUAAGUCGUUUCAGACAACACAAAAUAGGCUGUUUUGUACAUUGUCUGAAAUGUUUUAAGGUCUUAUAAAAGUGAACGGAGGGAGUACUUUAUUUUACCCUUAGUGCACACUUGUUUUCCUUUCCUAGAUAAUAGUAAUGUAAUACUCUCUCCGUCCCUAACUACUUGUUGCUCAAACGAAUGAUCCAGCAGUGAACUACAACUUGAUGUAUCCGUUAGAGCGGCAAGUAAUGUCAGACGGAAGAGAUACGAGUAAGUACA